rnacentral:rRNA from 1 species
AACGAACGCUGGCGGCAUGCCUAACACAUGCAAGUCGAACGAAAGCUUCGGGUCUAGUGGCGCACGGGGGCGUAGCGGGUGGGAACAUGCCCAUAGGUUCGGAAUAACUCCCCGAAAGGGGUGCUAAUACGGGCUAAAAUAUUCGGACCGAAGAUUUGUCGCCUUUGGAUGUGCCUGCGUUGGAUUAGCUAGUUGGUAGGGUAAAAGCCUACCAAGGGGACGAUCCAUAGCUGGUUUGAGAGGCUGAUCAGCCACACUGGGACUGGGCCACGGUCCAGACUCUUGCGGGAGGCAGCAGUGCGGAAUAUUGGACUACGGGCGGUAGCCUGAUGCAGCACUGCCGCGUGAGUGAUGAAGGCCUGAGGGUUGGAAAGCUCGUUUACCCGUGACGAUAAUGACAGUACCGGGAGAAUAAGCUCCGGCUAACUCCGUG